GACGGACUUUGGCGGCGUGCUUAACACAUGCAAGUCGAACGGAAAGGCCCUGCUUUUGUGGGGUGCUCGAGUGGCGAACGGGUGAGUAACACGUGAGUAACCUGCCCUUGACUUUGGGAUAACUUCAGGAAACUGGGGCUAAUACCGGAUAGGAGCUCCUGCUGCAUGGUGGGGGUUGGAAAGUUUCGGCGGUUGGGGAUGGACUCGCGGCUUAUCAGCUUGUUGGUGGGGUAGUGGCUUACCAAGGCUUUGACGGGUAGCCGGCCUGAGAGGGUGACCGGCCACAUUGGGACUGAGAUACGGCCCAGACUCCUACGGGAGGCAGCAGUGGGGAAUAUUGCACAAUGGGCGGAAGCCUGAUGCAGCAACGCCGCGUGCGGGAUGACGGCCUUCGGGUUGUAAACCGCUUUCGCCUGUGACGAAGCGUGAGUGACGGUAAUGGGUAAAGAAGCACCGGCUAACUACGUGCCAGCAGCCGCGGUGAUACGUAGGGUGCGAGCGUUGUCCGGAUUUAUUGGGCGUAAAGGGCUCGUAGGUGGUUGAUCGCGUCGGAAGUGUAAUCUUGGGGCUUAACCCUGAGCGUGCUUUCGAUACGGGUUGACUUGAGGAAGGUAGGGGAGAAUGGAAUUCCUGGUGGAGCGGUGGAAUGCGCAGAUAUCAGGAGGAACACCAGUGGCGAAGGCGGUUCUCUGGGCCUUUCCUGACGCUGAGGAGCGAAAGCGUGGGGAGCGAACAGGCUUAGAUACCCUGGUAGUCCACGCUGUAAACGGUGGGUACUAGGUGUGGGGUCCAUUCCACGGGUUCCGUGCCGUAGCUAACGCUUUAAGUACCCCGCCUGGGGAGUACGGCCGCAAGGCUAAAACUCAAAGGAAUUGACGGGGCCCCGCACAAGCGGCGGAGCAUGCGGAUUAAUUCGAUGCAACGCGUAGAACCUUACCUGGGUUUGACAUGGAUCGGGAGCGCUCAGAGAUGGGUGUGCCUCUUUUGGGGUCGGUUCACAGGUGGUGCAUGGCUGUCGUCAGCUCGUGUCGUGAGAUGUUGGGUUAAGUCCCGCAACGAGCGCAACCCUUGUUCACUGUUGCCAGCACGUUAUGGUGGGGACUCAGUGGAGACCGCCGGGGUCAACUCGGAGGAAGGUGGGGAUGACGUCAAGUCAUCAUGCCCCUUAUGUCCAGGGCUUCACGCAUGCUACAAUGGCUGGUACAGAGAGUGGCGAGCCUGUGAGGGUGAGCGAAUCUCGGAAAGCCGGUCUCAGUUCGGAUUGGGGUCUGCAACUCGACCUCAUGAAGUCGGAGUCGCUAGUAAUCGCAGAUCAGCAACGCUGCGGUGAAUACGUUCCCGGGGCU
rnacentral:rRNA from 1 species